rnacentral:lncRNA from 1 species
AAAAACAUUCUCCCGAGAUCUUCUGACGCAUCCGGAUACUCAUCAGAAAUCUAAAGUUUACGUAACAAUACGUCUAAACCCUAACCAUCAAAUUCUCUGACUCUAUUCCACAUCGAUGGCAAAAGCUUCUACAGUAGUCAGCUUCAUCACCCUCUUGCUCUUGAUCAGUUGCUUUGCCUUUCCUUGUGCGGCACGUGUUCGUCUUACUCUUGAUCAUGAGCACACGGGUGAUACCUUGGACGGCUUAGACAAGAAGCAACAAGACCUAAUCUCGAGCUCUGAUGACGAUGAGUCAUGCUUUCCACCCUACUUCGACACAAUUGAAGAUGAUGUCCUAUACUAUGAAUCUGAGCCCAUCUCGUUUACCGAACUGAUCAAAAAAGCCCAGUUUUCUGCCAUGAUGAGGCAAUAACUGUAGAUGGUUGAUGAAGCCAAUACCAAUGAUCUUAAAAAUCUCUCUCGUCUCUCUCUCUCUUUUCUUUUUUUCUUCGAUUUCAUUAUAGCUUGUAAUUUUUUUUUGCAAAUUUAAAUGUUAUCCCACGAGGAAUAAAUAUAUUUUUGAUAAAUAUUGUCUAUUAGUUAGUUAAUGUUUGGGUUAAUUAACAUAUAAAAACAAAGACGUACAAGUGAUGAGACCAUUCGCAAAAAGAACAUCAAUAAGCAAAACUUCUCGCUAGCUAGAUCUGAUCCUCAUACGAUUGAAGCACAUGUCAUUCGUGGAGCCCUAUGAAAUCUGGUUAUAUACCUCAACACAUGGUUUAGUGGUCCACUUAAAAUCCAUUUAAACAAGUAAACAACAUUGAAUCUUGACGACGACACCAUAGAUAAAAGAUGGUUUUCGUCUUUUGACUCCGUAACAUGGAAUAUAUAUUUAAUUUAUUUCAUCAUUAGAGAUAACAAGAGUAGACUUUAGUGAGACAACAUGCAAGAGCAUAUUUUUAUGGGGAAAUAGUACAGCUCCGAGCAAAAACACAAUUCAUUCCAGAAACCAUUGAUAGCGGUCCCAAAUCUCAUGGCACAACGUAACUUGUCACAUGAAGAUCAAUACAUAUAUUAGAGUCAUGAUGUUUUUUUUAAGGCAGUUUUUGUUCUUACAUUUUAUUUCUUGUCAAAUCUCUACCGAUAAUAUUUCUAAGUUCUUGUACUACAUUUUCGCAACAUAUAUAGCUCUCUUAACGAUACAUACCUUCAGUUUUUUUUUUGCAAGAUUAAAACCGAAAAAAUAGUGAAACUUCUUUGUUAAUUAGACUUACUUCCACACUUGGAUUAGAUUUUUAUUUAGGCUCCAAAGAUAAGUUCUAUCAUGUUUAAGUUAUAUUCAGAGGUUCCGUUUGUAAAUCAAAUUACUUGUAUUGUCUUGAUUUCAUGUUUUGAUUUGGUUGUCAGGCAAACCCAAAAACCCUCUAUAUAUAUAUAAUCGUAUCGUAUGUAAUAAUAGUUUAAUGAUCCUUUUGAGUUUGUGAGCACAGUGUGCGUCGUAUCUAGAAAGAUGAGAUAUACUCUUUCCUUUCCUACUAAUUUGAGAAAAACAAAAGAUGUUGUGUAUGGGUACUUUUAUUAUCCCAAAACGUGUGUUGUCUACUUGUAUUCCAAUUAGUAGAACUGAAACAACGAUGACAAAUUCUUGGAUGAUAUAUUGGAAAAUUUUAUGGUUACCUUUUUCUCCUCUUCACGGUUUUUGUCUUGGAUGAGUCAAACGAGUUGGUUAUUUGCGACCUUGGUUCAUAUUUUGAUUUGGAAUCUUAGGUUUUUCCAAGUGAAUUUGGGAGACAGAAAAAAGAAAGGAAAUUAAUUAAAGUCGGUCUAUUCAAUUAUAUUAGUUAAGGGAAUAAGGUUCUACCAAAAAAAAAAGGGAAUAAGGUCGGUUUGUAUACGUACGAGCAUCCUCUCUAUAUGUAUAUAUAUAGAACACAUGCACACCACAAACAUAUUACAAAUCACAAAAACAUUCUCUCGAGAUCUUCUAACGCAUAUAUCCGGACACUCGCAAACCUAAAGUUCACGUAACAAUACGUCUAAACCCUAACCAUUAAUUCUCUGACUCUUAUCUCUUUUUCCGAGAUUCCUCAUCGAUGGCAAAAUCUUCUACUAUAAUCAGCUUCAUCACCCUCUUGCUCUUGGUGAGUUGCUUUGUCUUGCCUUGUGCGGCACGUGUUCGUCUUACUCUUGAUCAUGAGCACACGGGUGAUACCUUGGACGACGGAGACAAGGAGCAACAAGACCUAAUCUCGAGCUAUGAUGAUGAAGAUGAAGCAUCACGCCUUCCACCCUUCUUCGACACAGUUGAAGAAGAUGUCAUACGCAAUGAAUCUGAGCCCAUCUCGUUUACCGAACUGAUCGAGAGAGCCGAAUUUUCUGCCAUGAUGAGGCGAUAUCGAUCUUUAGAUCCUUGAUGAAGCCAAUACCAAUAAUGAUCUUAAAAGAUGCCUCUCUCUCUCUCUCUCUCUUUUCUUUUUUUCUUCGCUUUCAUUAGAACUUGUAAUAUUUAUUUUAGCAAAUUUAAAUGUUAUCCCAAGAGGAAUAAAUAUAUAUUUGAU